rnacentral:lncRNA from 1 species
CUCUUUCCAACCGUGCAUGUCACACCCUUCAAAUCCAGUUUAAAUGCCUUGAAUAUCAAUUUGAAAUCUGCACUAAAACCUAAAUACCGCCGGAUUCCAGCCAUACCUGUCUUAGAUAGUCCCUUUUCCAACCCUCUCCCCAACCAUGCCACCCACAACCUUCAAAUACCACUAAUCACCGAUGAAAUUCAGAUCUGAGACCUCAAGGGGUCUUAGAAUCACAAGCUCCCCUUCCUUAACCCCUGAGCCCAUUACCCACAAGGCCAGUUGCUUUAGAAGUUUAAAAGCCUCUACAGAACAGGUCAGAAACCAAGGGAAUGAUUUCAAGUUAGAGUUGCAUGUUUAAAAGCUAAGUAUUUUGUGUCCUUUUCGUUUUUGUAUGUUUAUUUGCUUUGACAAUUUUAGUUGUUUUCCAUGAAUAAUCUUCUUGCUUGUUCUUUGGGGAAUUACUGGUUGGACUACAUCUUCUAUAAUGGUCUGAUGUUAUAUUGACUUAUCAGUUUACUUUCACCUCUAAAGCUUUACAUGAUCUAUAGUUUCAUCUUUGAAAUUUACAUGUCUCGGUUAUCUCAUCUUUUGAUUUUCAUGUUUACCCCUGAGAUCCUGAGUAGUUUUAGUAAUACCUUUCGGAUUCUACUUGUGUUGUGUCAUGAUUCUCAGAAAAUUAAUUCUUUUUUAUCAUUCUGCUAGUCACCAUUAGUUCUAUUGAUGUCUUAAGUAGCAUGGUCUUGAGUGCAUUCUUUAGGUUUGUUUGAUCAUCUCUGAAAGUCCUGGAAAUAAUCAUUUUGGCCUGCUUCAUACCAUGCUGGAAAUUCUAGUUAGGACUCUUUGCUUAAUCUGCAUGUGUUGAGGCUAAGUUUGUGUGAAUUUCUGAUAUCAGUCAUGUUCUCAUCUCUUUUCUUGCUUUUUAAUCUUUAUUGAGUUUUAGUGAUUGGGUCACUUCUAUAAGUCUUGCACUAUUAGAUUAGUGCCCUUCUUGGUCGAUUUGAUCCAUUUGUUUUGACAUAAAGAUGCCUGAACACUUAUAUAAUCCUAAUGUUAUAAUAAUUGAUUGAUCAAUCCAUAUUAGGAUAUUUAGUUGUAUGGGUUGAUUCUUAUACUUAUCCAAUGAGCCUGUUAAUCCAGACCAGGCUUUAGCCCAUAUCUCAAACACAAUUUACCUGGGUUAAUUUUGACCAAAUCAAAUGACAGACUAAGGUUAAAACCUCAAGUUAGUUAAUUAGGAAAAGAAACAGGGGUAUAAGGGAAAUUUGAGCCUGAAAGAAUCUGGUAAUAACCCCUAGAACAUUCUAGUAAGGGACUUAGGCACAAUUUCAGCCUCAAACUUGAGGCACAAGUCAGGAAACUAAGAUCUCAUCUCUGUACCAGGCUUUAGCCCAUAUCUCAAACACAAUUUACCUGGGUUAAUUUUGACCAAAUCAAAUGACAGACUAAGGUUAAAACCUCAAGUUAGUUAAUUAGGAAAAGAAACAGGGGUAUAAGGGAAAUUUGAGCCUGAAAGAAUCUGGUAAUAACCCCUAGAACAUUCUAGUAAGGGACUUAGGCACAAUUUCAGCCUCAAACUUGAGGCACGAGUCAGGAAACUAAGGACCAUUUAGGAAAAAACUGAAAUCUGAAUUAGGGACUAAAAGGAAAAACAAGGAAAAAGUGUUGCCCUAAGUCUUCACUAUAGAAAAGGGAAAUUUGAACUUUUUUAGGGAUCCUUUUUGAAUUUUGGGAGAUUUUCUGACUUUUUUGGAAUAUAUUUUCGAGCAGACUUCCUUUUGAAGCUUGAGUAAAUUAAGAUAUACAAAUACAUACUAGUUUCUUACAUAUAUUUUUAGAUAUCAUCAGUGUUGUUCUUAUUCUUAUGGGGUGUUGAUUGAUCGAUUGACUGUUGUUGCUUGCAGAUUGCUUCAAUUUACUCAUAGGUUCCCUUUCCUUGUUGAAAUCUAGGUACUCUUCCUCACUCAAAAGGCUGAGAAGUAAUGUUCAUAUGUACGCGAGAUUCUGGAUGAUAAUGUAACAAUAGCGUUUUGAUUUUAAUCAACUGAUGUAAUUAUAUUUGUUUUUCCUUAGAAUUUUUUCUGAUGUUUACACUCAAUCUAAGCAUGUGUUAAUCAUGG